rnacentral:lncRNA from 10 species
GCUUUCUUUUCCGAAUGGAGGGUGGAGAAGCCCGGGAAGGUAGGAGGCCGGGCGCGACAGGUGUAAUUAACAUGUACUGAGAGCUUCUGCAGGCCAGGAAGGAAUUUUAAAAUGCCUUUUAUAUGUGGGGAAAUGCUGCUAGUCUUUUCUAAAACGGGGGCCAAUUCUGUACAAUUUCUUUAAAAGUCUGAGUGCCUAGAAUUUCACCAUAAGAGUUUCUCCUUGAGUACAACAUUAUCCCCAGUAUUUCAAAAUUUUUAAAACUUUUAAAAGUUCAUUUCUUGGGGAAAAACAACUGUAAAUAGGUUAAUGCCUCAACCAGUCUCCCCACAUCCCCUUCCCAAGUCUGCAGCUGCGAUGAGAAAGGAUGAGAGUGUGGACUGGGAUUUAAUUCAGGCGCUGACUCCGAGUGAUGGAGGUGAACAUCCCUUCCCUGCCUGUCUCAGGAUUAUCGUGAGGAUUUGAUUUCCCAAUCUGGGUGAAGGCCGGAGAGGCGGAAGAUCAAGCUUCUGUGUUCAUUCCCUUCUGGAAUCCUGCGGUCCAACCUGAGGGCCCCGAUGUAUCCUGACUUCUCCCACUCAUUACCUUCCGUGGAGGCCGAUCCAAGCUUCAAGUCUUCAGAGGCCCUGCUGGCCUGUUCCCUUCCCUGUUGCCUGUGGCAAUAGCCCAAGAGAUUCAGGACCUAUGUUCCAGGUUCUCAAAGUUGCUAUGUCCCUCACAUGGCAAUCAAAUUCAGUUAACAUCUUUGAGGGCUCUGGGGGUGCUCAGAGGAAGGAGGGCUCCCCCAAAGCAGGUGGAGCUCUAGUCAUGACUGUGGCUUAUUUCACCACAUAUUCCACAGCUUGCUGUGGGGUAGGGAGGAGAGGCAACAGGAAACCUCAGAGGCUGCAGUGUUUAUGGGAGCCGAGGGUGAUGCGGCAUCCUUUACUCAAUAGGUGGAUGCUCUGCCCCAGGCUGGAGAGGAUGGCUUACUACCUAGGUCCCUGCUCCAAAUAUUGUUUUGGAAUUUUUUUUCUUUUUUUUUUUCUGAGACAAGGUCUCACUGUGUUCCCCAGGCUGGAGUGCAGUGGCACCAGCUUUGCUCACUGCAACCUCUGCUUGGGCUCAAGUGAUCCUCCUGCUUCAGCCUCCUGAGUAGCUGGGAUUACAGGCAUGCACUACCAUGACUGGCUAAUUUUUGAAUUUUUUUAGAGGCAGGGUUUUGCCAUGUUGCCCAGGCUGGUCUCGAACUCCUGAGCUCAAUGAUCCUCCCACCUUGGCCUCCCAAAGUGCUGGGAUUACAGGGAAGAGCCACUAUGCCCAGCUUUGUUAUGGACCUUGAGCCAACAGGAAAAUAAAGCCCAGCCUGACUUCUCAACCAAGCUGCCACUCUACCUCCCAGGACCCUUUGUUACUAGGUUUUGCCCCAUGGGAGUGUGCUCUUUUAUCUGCAUCAUUGAGGCCCUAUCUCUUUCUUUUCCCCUUCUCUUCCUUUCUGUCUAUUCUUCUUUAAGCAUCCCUCUGUGAAUCUCUCAAAGCAAUUUUGUGUCAGCUUCCUAAUGUAUUUACAGAUAUUCUCAUGUAAGGUGCAGGUCUUGGGUCACACAGUUCUAAGAUAAAUCUACUCUCACUGCCAUGGUCAUAUUUCAAAAUGACCAUGAACCCAAAGCAUGGGACUUGUAACAGUCUGAGCUGUCCAAUGACAGAGGAGGUAGUGAGCGAUCUGUUAUAGGAGGUGUGCAAAUAGCACCCUUUUAGAAUGCUGGGAUUGGGCCUCCUGUGGUGAGCCAGAGGAAGAGGCAGCAGAAUGGAGGGCCUUCCAGAUUCUAGAGGAGUGACUAAAGGCAGGGAUAUUGGGGGCUGGAAGGGAAGCAAGGCAGCUGGCCAAAGACACACUUGAUUCAACAAGCUAUUAUAUGUCAAGCACUUAGAAGUGUACCUGACACAUAAUGAACAUUAGCUGUUAUGAUGACUGUGAAUGAUUCAUAGACUAUAUAAUGAAGGAGCUGAGAUCAAUCAGUCCUUCACUCCCAUCACUGAUAACAAAAUAGAUGAAGGGUUGGGGUCUAGAGGGGGAAUGGGCUUGCAAUGGAACUUCAGGAGCUGGGCUGGGGCUACAACCUAUGCCUUUGCCUCCCAGGAGAGCCUCUGCACAAAGCCAGGCUGGCUCCUUUGCAGGAAGAGGGAAGAGCUCUAGAUGGGCCUUUGUUGACUCUUAAGAACCAAGCUGCUUUUUAAUUCCUGCCCAGGCAGCUUGUGAGUUGGGGCAGUGGAAUGACAGCAAGACCUGAGCCAAUAGAUGCAGAUGUCUACUGGGGAGUAAGCUCAGGAGUCAGGCCCAUGUCCUGCCACCCCCACCGUAGCUCCAGCCAGCAACAAGUAUCUUCCUCUUCAGGAUGGCCUCCUGUCCUGUAAUUAGUGUUGGGAUUGUAUUUCCACUCUGUCCUUUUAUCUACUACCUCAAAAAAAAACCACCCAGAGUAAGGGGCUGGAGUGAGAAUAGCCAAUGCCAGGCAACCUGAGAUGAAACAAGGAACGAUUCCUAUCAGACUGAGUUCCCGGAAGGCAAAGAAAAGCCAGGCUUCUCCACCCCAAGCGUCCUAGCCUAGCUCGGUCUAGAAUUUCCAGAGCCCCAGGAGAAUCUUUGUGUCCCCACCCUAGAGAGCUGGGCCAGACAUGACCACACCAGCCAGCCCUCCACAUGGUCCAGUAUCUCAGGACAAAAAGCCUUCCCAGCCCCAUUCUGGCUCAGUUCCUUCCAUGGUCUGCCAAGAGCCAUGUGGCACCCAGAUCACCGCUUCCCACCAGUGGCUGCUUUAGUUUGCCUUUUAUUUUACCAAAAAUAACAACAAUAAAGUCUUCCCU